rnacentral:lncRNA from 1 species
CACCAAAGAUAGGUUAGAAAGCUUACUUCAAAUGCAUAAGUUAACACCACGAUGACCAAUAAUGGUGAACAAAAUAAAUAAAUAAAAUAAGGAGUACACACUCAACAUUUUUUAUUUUUUGAAUCGCUAUACUUAUUUUUCUUUAAACACAUCCCAUUUUUAUCUAUUUACGGGCAAGCACAAUAUUUGUCCCGAAUUACUAUUAGAAACCAUAAAACAGGGGGAAUUUUUUUUUUGGAUUUGGCUCUCAAAGAUUAAUUUCAUUCUUUACUUAAUUUUAAUUGUAAAAAUACUUAUUCCUCUUGGUCUUAUGAUAAACAUCUUCCCACCUUGGAAACCUACACUGCUUCCACUUUCCAUGUGGUUGGUACAGUGCAAAAAUCAUCAUCUCUGCUAUCCGCUUUGCUCAUUCCUGUUGCCUUGCAUGUAUCUGUUAUGGACUCACCUCUGCUCUUGAGUCUGUGUAGUUCUUCAUGAUUUUUUUCAACCUUUAAUUCAUCUUAGCUGUUGUAUCUACUGUUCAUAUCACUGCAUUCCAGAUCUACUUAGCUCCCUCCUACAAGCCUCCCUUUCCCUUUUUAUAUAUUUUGGAGGGGUGAGUUGGAAUCUGGCACCUUCACACAUCGGAACAUGCAUAUAAUAUGGUAUCCCACCUCCUUGAUACGCUAUUUUGAAUAAGUACUUUUUCCCAUGCAUGGGAUUUUGGAUUAAUUUCAGAGACUGCCUCUUUUCAAGUUUUAAUAGGCUUUGGUACAACAAUGAUAGGAUAACACCACUCUGCCACCUCAUCCUCAAUCUUCUCCAUCACCUCUUCCUUCAUCAUUUCAUCCAACGUUCUCUUGACUUGGUCCCAGUAGCAAACACGAAUUUGUCUCGAUCCAUGAAGUGAAAAUGGCUUUGCUCCUUCCAAGAGUUAUAUUCUCAUUGGGAGAAACUUCAUUGUCCUCAACUCUUCCUCACAUGCAAAUACAUCUGGAAACGGAUAAUC